GAGAGAGAGAGAGAGAGAGAGAGACUGAUUUACACAAAUGGAGGUGAGAGGAUGGCGAGGGGAGAGCUUCACCUUCAAGUUUUUUCUGCUCCUGCCGCUGACGUCUCGACUCGACUCGGCCCUCACCUGCUCUGUCCGGCUCUUCCUCCAGAUACAAGGUGAGCGGUGGAGCAGCCGGGUGCAGCCGACAGAGACAGGAAGUGACGUAUUAACUCUGCUGCAGAGGUCACGUGACCAUGUUUACGGAGAAGAUUCGGAGGAACUUACCGCUCCCCCUGCCUCCCUCCGCUCUUGGGGUUGACGAGGACGAGGAGCGGGUGAGUACCUGGGAGAGGAGUGACCUGGAGACAAGGAACAACAGGGUCAACCAACAGGAAGGAGGGUGGAUCUCAGCCGGGUGACGGACAGGCCUAUACCUGCAGCGCUUGUCCGUCGCCGGGGGAGAAUUUGAACGUCUGGUUGGUGUCGUCGGGGCUGGUGCUGGGCGGAGACUCCCCCUCGCCACGCUUCACCACAGAGUGACGAUCCUGAGAGAGGAGGAAGAUUGAGGGUCUUGUUUUUAACAUCACACAUAUUGAGAGGUCUGGACAUGAAGAACACAUGAAGUGAGGGACUGAGGCUGCGAUUUGGUGCUAAACAAAUAAAACUGAAAAGAGCCAGAAACUGUGCUGCUCAAAAGUAACAGGAUGUAUUCAUACUCUUUUAAAGGAGCACUAUGUGACUUUUACUGAGCAACAGCGCCCCUGCAGCCACCCUUAAUGAAUUCUGGUGGGCUCCAUGUUCCAGCUCUGACUGUGUCGUCCCACUAACUGAAUUCUUCAUGUUUUAAAAGUUUCCUGCUGAAUAUUGGAGGUAAACUCUGUUUUUUAAUAACUUCUGAGUCUGUUUAACUUGCUGGAGCUGAUUCUGACACUUGAAGCUGUGACAUCAAACUAAUUUUAAUCAACCUGCUGUUUAAAACAACACAAUCAAAGUUAUUUUACCUUAAAUUAUCAAAUAAUCAGAAUUAUUCUGCCCAUUCUGGUUUUUGGUUGUUUCCCUAGAGUCACCUUGUGUUUGGGUUACGACUGGGCAAUUAAACAAUAUCAAUAAUUGUAAUAUAGUUUUCAUCAACAGCCAAAUAACAAAAGUCCAACAUACAUUGAUAUAAACUUACUAAUUGUG